GGAGAGGUGGCCGAAUUGGUAAGGCAGCGGGUUGCUAACCCGUGGACGGUCAAGUGCCGUCUUGCAGGUUCGAGUCCUGCUCUCUCCGCCA
rnacentral:tRNA from 1 species